GUUCGGCCGAAUAUUGGGCUUUUUGACGGGGUUCGGUUUCUGCCAAACCUUAGAAUUUGUUUCCACCAACCGAACCCUAGGCUUGCACUAAGUGCGCUAUGCUGGUCGACGUAAUGACGCCGCCGUUGAUUACGGGAAGGAAUUUACGUAGGUGGACCGUUGCAGUAGUCUGUGAGAAAGUAAAAAUGGAACUCACAAGCAGAAAAAGCACCGCCCGGCAGCACCCCCAGCCAAACGAAGGCGACCCAAGCCGAGCCGCACGCCCCAACCCGCAAUGCCGACCUGUUCCGUGGUGGCAAGGACCCCAAAAAACACACAACAUUGCCGCUGCCAAAACACCUGCGCAUGAAACAUCCGAAAGAAUACGAGCCGCGCAUGAAGGAAUCUACAGACAGCUGCCAAAAUGCAGCAACUUCAGCCCUUCCUCCCUCGUUUCCUCUCCCUCCCAGGACACUUUGUGGGCUGGACUGUGCUCUGAACGGCAAGCCGAUGCAGAAGGGAGAUUGGGUGCCACGCUGCACACUGCGAUGCCCCUCCUAUUGGCCACACCACGGACAUUAGACAUGUCUGAGAGGAAGCUGCUCAACUGUAGAGAUGGAAGAAAACAGCAAUGCACAAAAAGGGAUAAGUCUAGUAACAUUUUGUAUUGUCAAUACAUCUUUUGAAAAGUCAAUCCUACAUACAUCAUUCUUCUCCCUUAAAUUUUCACAAACAUAUGCACUGUUUAUUCCUGUUUGAGUAAUGUUUGCUUAAAACUACAGUGCACAGUUGUAUUAGGACAUUGUUUAACCUGUUUUUAAAAUGAAAGUAUAUAUAAUUA